GGAUAGCCCGAUGAAAGUUGGAUUAGUACCGCAUAUAGCUAUAUAGUUGCAUGAUUAUGUAGUGAAAGAUUUAUUGGUAUAGGAGGAGUCUGCGGCACAUUAGCUAGUAGGUGAGGUAAAGGCUUACCUAGGCGACGAUGUGUAGCCGGUCUGAGAGGAUGAACGGCCACAAUGGAACUGAGACACGGUCCAUACUCCUACGGGAGGCAGCAGUGGGGAAUAUUGCACAAUGGGGGAAACCCUGAUGCAGCAACGCCGCGUGAGCGAAGAAGGUUUUCGGAUUGUAAAGCUCUGUUAGCAGGGAAGAGGAAGGACGGUACCUGCAGAGGAAGCCACGGCUAACUACGUGCCAGCAGCCGCGGUAAUACGUAGGUGGCAAGCGUUGUUCGGAAUAACUGGGCGUAAAGGAUGCGUAGGCGGUUAAACAAGUUAUAUGUUAAAUAUAUAGGCUUAACCUGUAGAAAGCAUAUAAAACUGUUUAACUAGAGUGCAGGAGAGGUAAGUGGAAUUCCUAGUGUAGCGGUGAAAUGCGUAGAGAUUAGGAAGAACACCAGUGGCGAAGGCGACUUACUGGACUGUAACUGACGCUGAGGCAUGAGAGCAUGGGGAGCAA
rnacentral:rRNA from 1 species